GGUGCUGAGGCUCAGCCGGCUAAGGCAUCUGCCUCAGAAGCAGGAGAUCCUGGAGACAACUCUCAGCAGUGCUG
rnacentral:tRNA from 1 species